GACGAACGCUGGCGGCGUGCUUAACACAUGCAAGUCGAACGGAAAGGCCCCUUUGGGGGUACUCGAGUGGCGAACGGGUGAGUAACACGUGAGUAACCUGCCCUUGACUUCGGGAUAACUUCAGGAAACUGGGGCUAAUACCGGAUAGGAAUCCUUGCUGCAUGGUGGGGGUUGGAAAGCUUCGGCGGUUUUGGAUGGACUCGCGGCUUAUCGGCUUGUUGGUGGGGUAGUGGCUUACCAAGGCUUUGACGGGUAGCCGGCCUGAGAGGGCGACCGGCCACAUUGGGACUGAGAUACGGCCCAGACUCCUACGGGAGGCAGCAGUGGGGAAUAUUGCACAAUGGGCGGAAGCCUGAUGCAGCAACGCCGCGUGCGGGAUGACGGCCUUCGGGUUGUAAACCGCUUUCAGCAGGGGCGAAGCUUGUGGUGACGGUACCUGCAGAAGAAGCACCGGCUAACUACGU
rnacentral:rRNA from 1 species